rnacentral:rRNA from 1 species
AGCGCAGGUGGGAAAGUAAGUCUGCUUUAAAAGUGCGGGGCUCAACCCCGUGAGGGAGUGGAAACUAUUUUUCUUUGAGUGCAGGAGAGGAAAGCGGAAUUCCUAGUGUAGCGGUGAAAUGCGUAGAUAUUAGGAGGAACACCAGUGGCGAAGGCGGCCUGCUGGACGACAACUGACGCUGAGGCGCGAAAGCGUGGGGAGGCAAAACA